CGGUGUGUGUGUGUGCACGUGCGCGCGCAUUGUGUGUGGGUGGGUGUGGGUGUGUGCGUGUGCACCUGCAUGUGUGUGGGUGUGUGCGCAUGUGUGCAUGUGUGCACAGGAGUGUGUGUGCACAUGUGCGCACACGUGUGGGUGUGCACGUGUGUGCGUGUGUACACGUGCGUGUGUGUGCAUGUGUGGGUGUGCGUGCAUGUGCGUGUGUGCAUAUGUGUGUGUACAUGCGUGUGUGUGCAUGUGUGCACGUGUGUGUGUGUGUGGUUUUUGAACGCUCCUGUGUGUCCUGAAUUUGGGGGUGAAAUCUGUUUGCUCUCAGGGCUAGCCCCACUGCUGGAGUGAGCACCGUUCUUGGCUGUGAGCCUCCAGGCAGCUGUGUGGCAGGAAGACCCCCGAGACCACCUUGACGGUCCACAACUUGCUAGAAGGACAGACAGAGCCCAGACAGGCUGCUUUUCCCUGCUGUGGGUUCUCACAGCAGAGGACAUGGGUUAAAGUCAGCAGAGGGAAGAGAUGCCCAGGCAGGGCCCAGGAGAGGCCAGGUGCGAGCUCCCAGGUGUCCCCUCCUGGGGGGGGUCCCAUGGACUUGAUUCUCCGGCACCCAUGCGUGACAACACAUGCCAAGCGAGGCCAGCCAGGAGCCCCCGAGCCUCGGUGUCCACGGUCCUCACUGGGCUGGUCUCGUGGACAUGGCUGACCUUGGUCUCCACCCUCCAGAGGUCAGGCUGAUGCCGUGAGACCAAGUGCCCACCGUGAAUCCCACCAUUGCACAGACCAGCUGGGGCUGCCAAGGCCAGGUGAGCAGGGCUGUCCUCUCCGGCAGGAGGUUCCGGGGCAAGGAGGGGCCGGAUGUGGACGCUCAGGGUGUGGAGGAGCCAGCUGCCAAGUUAACCCUUUCCUGCUCACAGCAACAGUGGAAACAUCAGAGCCAUCUGACAGAGGAAGGUCUCCAAGUACCCCGCCCCGUCCCCAUCAUUCCUCCCGUCACCUGGGAGGCUUCCAGCCGUGAGGAAGGGGCGACCCGGGCCCUGCUCUCCCGGCCUGCCUGUUUUAUCUCCUAGCUCUUGCUGUAAGGGAGGAAGGCUGCGUCCGGCACUGGUUUUCGAAUCCCUGCAGGCCCUCGGUCCCCUGUGGAAUCCUCUGGAGGAUCCCAGCACCGCCGUGCGUGACCUUGGUCUUGUUGGCAGGCGGGGGCCCUGUGCGUUGUGGGGUCCAGUCGUGGGGACCGGGUCGUCUCUGAGUCAGGACUGAACCCGAGCUGGGGGUGAAGCCUUGUGUGACCCUCUGCGUCCCCCCGAGACGUGGGCCUGCGUGUCACAGACGGUCGUCAUUUGCCUCCUGAGGUCCUGUCCCGGCUCCAGAUGGAAGUCCACACCCCCCGCUCUGAUCCAUUUCAGCCCAGCUGCAGAUCCCGCUGCCCAGGUCUAAACCAGUCAGAGCGUGAAGGUCACCCCAGACCUAGGGGUUGGCUCAGGGCUGGUCAGGUGGUUUAAGCCAGUCCAGUCAGAGUGAAUUCUGGAAUUACCAGCGGGCCAUCGAGAAAAAAACAGGCAGCCUUUUCCCACAAGAUGAAACCAAGGCUGGGAGCUGGGGGAGCUGCAGCAACCUUAUCAUCAAGAGGCGAGAGCUUGGAGCUUCCAGGGUCCCUCACGAAGCCCAAGAAGGGGCCAGUGUCUGAACACCUAGAUCCAGCUGUUCCCAAAACAGACCCACUUGACUUUGCAAUAAAUUAGCACAUGCGUGCACACGCACACGCACACGCACACACACGCAUGCACACACACAUGCAACGCACACACGCGCACACACGCGCACGCACGUAUUUUUAGUUUUUUCUUUAAGCACAUCUGAAUUGGGUUUUCUGUUCUUAGAGCUGCAGGGGUCCCAUUGGAUUCCCCCUCUGUGGGAUGUGGGACCCCAGGCCUGGCCUUGCUGUAGUGGAGCUGAUUCCCCCUCUGUGGGAUGUGGGACCCCAGGCCUGGCCUUGCUGCAGUGGAGCUGGUUCCUCUGUGGGAUGUGGGACCCCCAGGCCUGGCCUUGCUGUAGUGGAGCUGAUUCCUCCUCUGUGGGAUGUGGGACCCCAGGCCUGGGCUUGCUGUAGUGGAGCUGAUUCCUCCUCUGUGGGAUCGGGGAUCCCAGGCCUGGCCUUGCUGUAGUGGAGCUGAUUCCCCCUCUGUGGGAUGUGGGACCCCCAGGCCUGGCCUUGCUGCAGUGGAGCUGGUUCCUCUGUGGGAUGUGGGACCCCCAGGCCUGGGCUUGCUGUAGUGGAGCUGAUUCCUCCUCUGUGGGAUGUGGGACCCCAGGCCUGGCCUUGCUGUAGUGGAGCUGAUUCCCCCUCUGUGGGAUGUGGGACCCCAGGCCUGGCCUUGCUGUAGUGGAGCUGGUUCCUCUGUGGGAUGUGGGACCCCCAGGCCUGGGCUUGCUGUAGUGGAGCUGAUUCCCCCUCUGUGGGAUCGGGGACCCCCAGGCCUGGGCUUGCUGUAGUGGAGCUGAUUCCUCCUCUGUGGGAUCGGGGACCCCCAGGCCUGGCCUUGCUGUAGUGGAGCUGAUUCCUCCUCUGUGGGAUCGGGGACCCCCAGGCCUGGCCUUGCUGUAGUGGAGCUGAUUCCUCCUCUGUGGGAUCGGGGACCCCCAGGCCUGGCCUUGCUGUAGUGGAGCUGAUUCCUCUUCUGUGGGAUCGGGGACCCCCAGGCCUGGCCUUGCUGUAGUGGAGCUGAUUCCUCUUCUGUGGGAUCGGGGACCCCCAGGCCUGGCCUUGCUGUAGUGGAGCUGAUUCCUCUUCUGUGGGAUCGGGGACCCCCAGGCCUGGGCUUGCUGCACAGUGGGGGCUCUUGCUCUCCUUUUGAGGGUUCAGCAUCCUGCUGCCUCCCCCCAGGUGUAGGUGGCCCCUGCUGUAGGAAACCUGUCUGCCA
rnacentral:lncRNA from 1 species